AUUGAACGCUGGCGGCAUGCCUUACACAUGCAAGUCGAACGGCAGCACGGGUGCUUGCACCUGGUGGCGAGUGGCGAACGGGUGAGUAAUACAUCGGAACAUGUCCUGUAGUGGGGGAUAGCCCGGCGAAAGCCGGAUUAAUACCGCAUACGAUCCACGGAUGAAAGCGGGGGACCUUCGGGCCUCGCGCUAUAGGGAUGGCCGAUGGCUGAUUAGCUAGUUGGGGGGGUAAAGGCCUACCAAGGCGACGAUCAGUAGCUGGUCUGAGAGGACGACCAGCCACACUGGGACUGAGACACGGCCCAGACUCCUACGGGAGGCAGCAGUGGGGAAUUUUGGACAAAGGGCGAAAGCCUGAUCCAGCAAUGCCGCGUGUGUGAAGAAGGCCUUCGGGUUGUAAAGCACUUUUGUCCGGAAAGAAAUCCUUGGCUCUAAUACAGUCGGGGGAUGACGGUACCGGAAGAAUAAGCACCGGCUAACUACGUG
rnacentral:rRNA from 1 species